UGCUAGGAAUGGGAAAGGGGUGAGUAUAGACUGCUAGGGAUGGGAAGGGGAUGAGUAUAUGCUAAUUGGGAUGGGAAGGGGAUAGUAUAGACUGCUAGGGAUGGGGAGGGGAUGAGUAUAGACUGCUAGGGAUGGGAAGGGGAUGAGUAUAUGCUAAUUGGGAUGGGAAGGGGAUGGGUAUAGGCUGCUAGGGAUGGCAAGGGGGUGAGUAUAGGCUGCUAGGGAUGGGGAGGGGAUGAGUAUAGGCUGCUAGGGAUGGGAAGGGGAUGCGUAUAGACUGCUAGGGAUGGGAAGGGGAUGCAUAUAGGCUGCUAGGGAUGGGAAGGGGAUGAGUAUAGACUGCUAGGGAUGGGAAGGGGAUGCAUAUAGGCUGCUAGGGAUGGGAAGGGGAUGCGUAUAGACUGCUAGGGAU